GACGAACGCUGGCGGCGUGCUUAACACAUGCAAGUCGAACGGUGAAGCGCCUUCCUUUUUGGUGGGUGUGGAUGAGUGGCGAACGGGUGAGUAACACGUGAGUAACCUGCCCCCUUCUUCUGGAUAACCGCAUGAAAGUGUGGCUAAUACGGGAUAUUCUGGGUCUGUCGCAUGAUGGGUCUGGGAAAGAUAUUGUUUCGGUGGGGGAUGGGCUCGCGGCCUAUCAGCUUGUUGGUGGGGUGAUGGCCUACCAAGGCGGUGACGGGUAGCCGUCCUGAGAGGGUGGACGGUCACACUGGGACUGAGACACGGCCCAGACUCCUACGGGAGGCAGCAGUGGGGAAUAUUGCACAAUGGGCGCAAGCCUGAUGCAGCGACGCCGCGUGAGGGAUGGAGGCCUUCGGGUUGUGAACCUCUUUCGCCAGUGAAGCAGGCCUGCCUCGUUUGUGGGUGGGUUGACGGUAGCUGGAUAAGAAGCGCCGGCUAACUACGUG
rnacentral:rRNA from 1 species